rnacentral:lncRNA from 1 species
GUCGCCUGUGCGCACGCGUGCUUUCCAGUCGUAACGCGCACUCCCCACCUCCAACCCUUCCACGUCCUCUCCCGCUCAAGCGCGCCGGCCUCCCGCCAAGAGUCUGCGCAGCCCACCCUGCAAAAUGGCGUCGGCAGCCCUUAGCUGUGUAAGAUAUGGCGGGUUAGCCGGCUGCGAAUGAGCCAGAGAGCACCUCGAUUCACCUUUCCCCAUCCCCUAGUGCCCUGCAAGCCUCCAAACAGGCGUAAUCACUUCAGGAAUUUUUUACUUGCCUGAAGGCUUCGGAUCGCAGUUAAUCGUUACCCCAAAGUUCAGGUGCCAGAGAGAGUGAAUUGCGGCUUAUUCUUUGUUAGGAAGGAAAGAUGUAGUUACCGGCCAGACUUACGGAACUUUGUUUUUCAGCUCUGUCCUUCCUGAGAAAACAUCUCCAAAGUCCUUAUCUUUACGUAACUUGGGGGCCAAAAGGGGACUGAAUCAGUCUCCAAAUUAGCAAGGACAUCGCCCUAAGAGAGCUCGGAGGGUGGGCCGACUCUGACUUCUUGCCGCUCUUAAUCUUUAACAUUCCUCCUGAAAGAAAGCGGGUGACUUGUAAGAACUACAGAAGCCUUAAUUCGAAUAUUUGGGAGCGAGCAUGGGAAUUAACGUUUUAAGCUACACCUUGACAAACUCCGAGGCACCCCAGCACCCCGCGGGCAUUGGGGCGUUCUGAAGACCCGUAAUCUUUUUUUUUUAAGCCUCAACAUAUCAAACAAAUUUAAGAAGUGAGGAAUACAAAUGAUAGCCUCAGAAAGGAAGACACCCCCACCCCAAGGCAUUAUUUCUUACAGGAAAAUUAUAGAGACGAUUUCAGUGUCUAUCAAGAGAGGAAUGAACAGUUAAAUUAUAACAUGUCCAUAUUAUGGGUUAGUUGUGGACACAUACUAACGCAUAAUAUGGACAUGUUAUAAUUUAACUGUUCCUUUCUGAGAGCUCCUGUGUCACAUAAAGCUUUGAGUCACUUAAAUUUGUUAUGCCUUUUUUUGUGUGUGUGUGGAGACAGAGUCUCGCUGUGUUGUCCAGGCUGGAGUGCAGUGGCGUGAUCUCCGCUGGAUGCAACCUCCGCCUCCCGGGCUCCCGAGUAGCGAGGACUACAGGUGCAUGCCACCACGCCCGACUAAUUUUUGUAUUUUAGGAGGGAUGGGGUUUCGCUGUGUUCUCCAGGCUGGGCUCAAACUCCUGACCUCGGGUGAUCCGCCUGUCUCUGCCUUCCAAAGUGCUGGGAUUUCAGGCGUGAGCCACCGCACCCAGCCAGCAUUUUUUUUUUUUUUAAACGGGGUCUCGCUCUCUUGCCCAGGCUGCAGUGCAGUGGCAAGAUCUCUGACUCACGAGUUCUGCCUCUUGAGUUCCAGCAAUUCUCGUGCCUCAGCCUCCCAAGUAGCUGGGAUUACAGGUGCCUGCCACCGCGUCCAGCUAAUUGUUGUAUAUUUAGUAGAAACAGGGUUUCGCCAUGUUGGCCUCCCAAAGUGCUGGGAUUACAGGCGUGAGUCACCACACCCGGCCACUGUUUUAUUUUUUAUUUUAAUUUUUUUUUUUUUUGAAACCGAAGUCCCGCUCUGUCAUACAGGCUGGAGUGCAGUGUUAUGAUCUUGGCUCACUGUGACCUUUGCCUCCUGGGUUCAAGUGAUUGUCCUGCCUCAGCCUCCCAAGUAGCUGGGAUUACAGGCGCCCCCCACCACGCCUAGCUAAUUUUUGUAUUUUU